rnacentral:rRNA from 1 species
GACGAACGCUGGCGGCGUGCUUAACACAUGCAAGUCGAACGGAAAGGCCCUGCUUUUGUGGGGUGCUAGAGUGGCGAACGGGUGAGUAGCACGUGAGUAACCUUCCCUUGACUUUGGAAUGACUUCAAGCAACUGCUGCUACUACCUGCUAGGAGCUCCUGCAGCAGGGGGGUGUUUGGAAAGUAUCGGCGGUUGGGGAUGGAGGCGCGGCUUAUCAGCUUGUGGGUUGAGUAGUGGCUUACCAAGGCUUUGGCGGGUAGCCGGCCUGAGAGCGUGAACGGCCACCUUGGUACUGAGAGAGGGCGCAGACGCCUACGUUAGGCAGCAGUGGGGAAUAUGGCACAAGGGGGGGAAGUCUGAUGCAGCAACCCUGGGUGCGGAAAGACGGCCUUCGGGGGGGAAACCGCUGUCGGCUGAUACCAAGCGGGAGUGACGGUAAUGGGUAAAGAAGCACCGGCUAACUACGUG